AGCGUACACGGUGGAUGCCCUGGCAGUCAGAGGCGAUGAAGGACGUGCUAAUCUGCGAUAAGCGUCGGUGAGGUGAUAUGAACCGUUAUAACCGGCGAUUUCCGAAUGGGGAAACCCAGUGUGUUUCGACACACUAUCAUUAACUGAAUCCAUAGGUUAAUGAGGCGAACCGGGGGAACUGAAACAUCUAAGUACCCCGAGGAAAAGAAAUCAACCGAGAUUCCCCCAGUAGCGGCGAGCGAACGGGGAGGAGCCCAGAGCCUGAAUCAGUGUGUGUGUUAGUGGAAGCGUCUGGAAAGGCGCGCGAUACAGGGUGACAGCCCCGUACACAAAAAUGCACAUAUUGUGAGCUCGAUGAGUAGGGCGGGACACGUGGUAUCCUGUCUGAAUAUGGGGGGACCAUCCUCCAAGGCUAAAUACUCCUGACUGACCGAUAGUGAACCAGUACCGUGAGGGAAAGGCGAAAAGAACCCCGGCGAGGGGAGUGAAAAAGAACCUGAAACCGUGUACGUACAAGCAGUGGGAGCCUCUUAAUGGGGUGACUGCGUACCUUUUGUAUAAUGGGUCAGCGACUUAUAUUCUGUAGCAAGGUUAACCGAAUAGGGGAGCCGGAGGGAAACCGAGUCUUAACUGGGCGUUAAGUUGCAGGGUAUAGACCCGAAACCCGGUGAUCUAGCCAUGGGCAGGUUGAAGGUUGGGUAACACUAACUGGAGGACCGAACCGACUAAUGUUGAAAAAUUAGCGGAUGACUUGUGGCUGGGGGUGAAAGGCCAAUCAAACCGGGAGAUAGCUGGUUCUCCCCGAAAGCUAUUUAGGUAGCGCCUCGUGAAUUCAUCUCCGGGGGUAGAGCACUGUUUCGGCAAGGGGGUCAUCCCGACUUACCAACCCGAUGCAAACUGCGAAUACCGGAGAAUGUUAUCACGGGAGACACACGGCGGGUGCUAACGUCCGUCGUGAAGAGGGAAACAACCCAGACCGCCAGCUAAGGUCCCAAAGUCAUGGUUAAGUGGGAAACGAUGUGGGAAGGCCCAGACAGCCAGGAUGUUGGCUUAGAAGCAGCCAUCAUUUAAAGAAAGCGUAAUAGCUCACUGGUCGAGUCGGCCUGCGCGGAAGAUGUAACGGGGCUAAACCAUGCACCGAAGCUGCGGCAGCGACGCUUAUGCGUUGUUGGGUAGGGGAGCGUUCUGUAAGCCUGCGAAGGUGUGCUGUGAGGCAUGCUGGAGGUAUCAGAAGUGCGAAUGCUGACAUAAGUAACGAUAAAGCGGGUGAAAAGCCCGCUCGCCGGAAGACCAAGGGUUCCUGUCCAACGUUAAUCGGGGCAGGGUGAGUCGACCCCUAAGGCGAGGCCGAAAGGCGUAGUCGAUGGGAAACAGGUUAAUAUUCCUGUACUUGGUGUUACUGCGAAGGGGGGACGGAGAAGGCUAUGUUGGCCGGGCGACGGUUGUCCCGGUUUAAGCGUGUAGGCUGGUUUUCCAGGCAAAUCCGGAAAAUCAAGGCUGAGGCGUGAUGACGAGGCACUACGGUGCUGAAGCAACAAAUGCCCUGCUUCCAGGAAAAGCCUCUAAGCAUCAGGUAACAUCAAAUCGUACCCCAAACCGACACAGGUGGUCAGGUAGAGAAUACCAAGGCGCUUGAGAGAACUCGGGUGAAGGAACUAGGCAAAAUGGUGCCGUAACUUCGGGAGAAGGCACGCUGAUAUGUAGGUGAAGCGACUUGCUCGUGGAGCUGAAAUCAGUCGAAGAUACCAGCUGGCUGCAACUGUUUAUUAAAAACACAGCACUGUGCAAACACGAAAGUGGACGUAUACGGUGUGACGCCUGCCCGGUGCCGGAAGGUUAAUUGAUGGGGUUAGCGGUAACGCGAAGCUCUUGAUCGAAGCCCCGGUAAACGGCGGCCGUAACUAUAACGGUCCUAAGGUAGCGAAAUUCCUUGUCGGGUAAGUUCCGACCUGCACGAAUGGCGUAAUGAUGGCCAGGCUGUCUCCACCCGAGACUCAGUGAAAUUGAACUCGCUGUGAAGAUGCAGUGUACCCGCGGCAAGACGGAAAGACCCCGUGAACCUUUACUAUAGCUUGACACUGAACAUUGAGCCUUGAUGUGUAGGAUAGGUGGGAGGCUUUGAAGUGUGGACGCCAGUCUGCAUGGAGCCGACCUUGAAAUACCACCCUUUAAUGUUUGAUGUUCUAACGUUGGCCCGUAAUCCGGGUUGCGGACAGUGUCUGGUGGGUAGUUUGACUGGGGCGGUCUCCUCCUAAAGAGUAACGGAGGAGCACGAAGGUUGGCUAAUCCUGGUCGGACAUCAGGAGGUUAGUGCAAUGGCAUAAGCCAGCUUGACUGCGAGCGUGACGGCGCGAGCAGGUGCGAAAGCAGGUCAUAGUGAUCCGGUGGUUCUGAAUGGAAGGGCCAUCGCUCAACGGAUAAAAGGUACUCCGGGGAUAACAGGCUGAUACCGCCCAAGAGUUCAUAUCGACGGCGGUGUUUGGCACCUCGAUGUCGGCUCAUCACAUCCUGGGGCUGAAGUAGGUCCCAAGGGUAUGGCUGUUCGCCAUUUAAAGUGGUACGCGAGCUGGGUUUAGAACGUCGUGAGACAGUUCGGUCCCUAUCUGCCGUGGGCGCUGGAGAACUGAGGGGGGCUGCUCCUAGUACGAGAGGACCGGAGUGGACGCAUCACUGGUGUUCGGGUUGUCAUGCCAAUGGCACUGCCCGGUAGCUAAAUGCGGAAGAGAUAAGUGCUGAAAGCAUCUAAGCACGAAACUUGCCCCGAGAUGAGUUCUCCCUGACUCCUUGA
rnacentral:rRNA from 1 species